GGUUAAGCGACUAAGCGUACACGGUGGAUGCCCUGGCAGUCAGAGGCGAUGAAGGACGUGCUAAUCUGCGAUAAGCGUCGGUAAGGUGAUAUGAACCGUUAUAACCGGCGAUUUCCGAAUGGGGAAACCCAGUGUGUUUCGACACACUAUCAUUAACUGAAUCCAUAGGUUAAUGAGGCGAACCGGGGGAACUGAAACAUCUAAGUACCCCGAGGAAAAGAAAUCAACCGAGAUUCCCCCAGUAGCGGCGAGCGAACGGGGAGCAGCCCAGAGCCUGAAUCAGUGUGUGUGUUAGUGGAAGCGUCUGGAAAGGCGCGCGAUACAGGGUGACAGCCCCGUACACAAAAAUGCACAUGCUGUGAGCUCGAUGAGUAGGGCGGGACACGUGGUAUCCUGUCUGAAUAUGGGGGGACCAUCCUCCAAGGCUAAAUACUCCUGACUGACCGAUAGUGAACCAGUACCGUGAGGGAAAGGCGAAAAGAACCCCGGCGAGGGGAGUGAAAAAGAACCUGAAACCGUGUACGUACAAGCAGUGGGAGCACGCUUCGGCGUGUGACUGCGUACCUUUUGUAUAAUGGGUCAGCGACUUAUAUUCUGUAGCAAGGUUAACCGAAUAGGGGAGCCGAAGGGAAACCGAGUCUUAACUGGGCGUUAAGUUGCAGGGUAUAGACCCGAAACCCGGUGAUCUAGCCAUGGGCAGGUUGAAGGUUGGGUAACACUAACUGGAGGACCGAACCGACUAAUGUUGAAAAAUUAGCGGAUGACUUGUGGCUGGGGGUGAAAGGCCAAUCAAACCGGGAGAUAGCUGGUUCUCCCCGAAAGCUAUUUAGGUAGCGCCUCGUGAAUUCAUCUCCGGGGGUAGAGCACUGUUUCGGCAAGGGGGUCAUCCCGACUUACCAACCCGAUGCAAACUGCGAAUACCGGAGAAUGUUAUCACGGGAGACACACGGCGGGUGCUAACGUCCGUCGUGAAGAGGGAAACAACCCAGACCGCCAGCUAAGGUCCCAAAGUCAUGGUUAAGUGGGAAACGAUGUGGGAAGGCCCAGACAGCCAGGAUGUUGGCUUAGAAGCAGCCAUCAUUUAAAGAAAGCGUAAUAGCUCACUGGUCGAGUCGGCCUGCGCGGAAGAUGUAACGGGGCUAAACCAUGCACCGAAGCUGCGGCAGCGACGCUUAUGCGUUGUUGGGUAGGGGAGCGUUCUGUAAGCCUGCGAAGGUGUGCUGUGAGGCAUGCUGGAGGUAUCAGAAGUGCGAAUGCUGACAUAAGUAACGAUAAAGCGGGUGAAAAGCCCGCUCGCCGGAAGACCAAGGGUUCCUGUCCAACGUUAAUCGGGGCAGGGUGAGUCGACCCCUAAGGCGAGGCCGAAAGGCGUAGUCGAUGGGAAACAGGUUAAUAUUCCUGUACUUGGUGUUACUGCGAAGGGGGGACGGAGAAGGCUAUGUUGGCCGGGCGACGGUUGUCCCGGUUUAAGCGUGUAGGCUGGUUUUCCAGGCAAAUCCGGAAAAUCAAGGCUGAGGCGUGAUGACGAGGCACUACGGUGCUGAAGCAACAAAUGCCCUGCUUCCAGGAAAAGCCUCUAAGCAUCAGGUAACAUCAAAUCGUACCCCAAACCGACACAGGUGGUCAGGUAGAGAAUACCAAGGCGCUUGAGAGAACUCGGGUGAAGGAACUAGGCAAAAUGGUGCCGUAACUUCGGGAGAAGGCACGCUGAUAUGUAGGUGAGGUCCCUCGCGGAUGGAGCUGAAAUCAGUCGAAGAUACCAGCUGGCUGCAACUGUUUAUUAAAAACACAGCACUGUGCAAACACGAAAGUGGACGUAUACGGUGUGACGCCUGCCCGGUGCCGGAAGGUUAAUUGAUGGGGUUAGCGCAAGCGAAGCUCUUGAUCGAAGCCCCGGUAAACGGCGGCCGUAACUAUAACGGUCCUAAGGUAGCGAAAUUCCUUGUCGGGUAAGUUCCGACCUGCACGAAUGGCGUAAUGAUGGCCAGGCUGUCUCCACCCGAGACUCAGUGAAAUUGAACUCGCUGUGAAGAUGCAGUGUACCCGCGGCAAGACGGAAAGACCCCGUGAACCUUUACUAUAGCUUGACACUGAACAUUGAGCCUUGAUGUGUAGGAUAGGUGGGAGGCUUUGAAGUGUGGACGCCAGUCUGCAUGGAGCCGACCUUGAAAUACCACCCUUUAAUGUUUGAUGUUCUAACGUUGACCCGUAAUCCGGGUUGCGGACAGUGUCUGGUGGGUAGUUUGACUGGGGCGGUCUCCUCCUAAAGAGUAACGGAGGAGCACGAAGGUUGGCUAAUCCUGGUCGGACAUCAGGAGGUUAGUGCAAUGGCAUAAGCCAGCUUGACUGCGAGCGUGACGGCGCGAGCAGGUGCGAAAGCAGGUCAUAGUGAUCCGGUGGUUCUGAAUGGAAGGGCCAUCGCUCAACGGAUAAAAGGUACUCCGGGGAUAACAGGCUGAUACCGCCCAAGAGUUCAUAUCGACGGCGGUGUUUGGCACCUCGAUGUCGGCUCAUCACAUCCUGGGGCUGAAGUAGGUCCCAAGGGUAUGGCUGUUCGCCAUUUAAAGUGGUACGCGAGCUGGGUUUAGAACGUCGUGAGACAGUUCGGUCCCUAUCUGCCGUGGGCGCUGGAGAACUGAGGGGGGCUGCUCCUAGUACGAGAGGACCGGAGUGGACGCAUCACUGGUGUUCGGGUUGUCAUGCCAAUGGCACUGCCCGGUAGCUAAAUGCGGAAGAGAUAAGUGCUGAAAGCAUCUAAGCACGAAACUUGCCCCGAGAUGAGUUCUCCCUGACCCUUUAAGGGUCCUGAAGGAACGUUGAAGACGACGACGUUGAUAGGCCGGGUGUGUAAGCGCAGCGAUGCGUUGAGCUAACCGGUACUAAUGAACCGUGAGGCUUAACCUU
rnacentral:rRNA from 1 species